rfam:Habropoda laboriosa contig13446, whole genome shotgun sequence.
AUACACUAUUCUCAAACCAUCUUCCAGACUAGCUCGUCGUCUCCGAUUAUCCCUAUAUAAGGUUUGCCUGAGAACCGUACUAAUAUACGGAGUCCAUGUGUGGAUAAACACUAAAGUCGGGAUAACCCAAAAUGACCUGGAGACACCGUCGGGAAAUCCGAGGAGAAUAUUCUUUUCUGUAUAAGCGUUCGAGUUCCCUGGAAACUUCUAGCAAGGAGAUAGGGUUUGGAAAGCAAAGAGCACCGCAGUUGCGGUGGUGUCCGGAUAUUCCCCUCAGACCAUGAAAAUUCAGGAGAGGGCCACAUGGAGGUGUCGCACCGGUUCGUACACAUAUCCGCAGCAGGU